AGUGCCAGCAGUCGCGGUUAGACUAGAAGGAGGUAGCCUAAACUAAAAAAAGGGCACAGUUUAAAAUA
rnacentral:tRNA from 1 species